rnacentral:tRNA from 1 species
GGGGUUGUAAGCUCAGUGGUAGAGCAUGUGCUUGGCAUGCACGAGGUCCUGGGUUCAACCUCCAGUGCCUCUG